rnacentral:rRNA from 1 species
UACGUAGGGGGCGAGCGUUGUCCGGAUUCAUUGGGCGUAAAGAGCUCGUAGGCGGCUUGGCAAGUCGGAUGUGAAAACUCCAGGCUCAACCUGGAGCCGCCAUUCGAUACUGCUAUGGCUAGAGUCCGGUAGGGGAGUGUGGAAUUCCCGGUGUAGCGGUGAAAUGCGCAGAUAUCAGGAGGAACACCGGUGGCGGAGGCGGGUCUCUGGGCCGAUACUGACGCUGAGGAGCGAAAGCGUGGGGAGCGAACAGG